ACCUGGCUGGCUCAGUCAGUUAGAGCAUGUGACUCUUGAUCUCAGGGUUGUGAGUUCAAGCCCCAUGUUGUGUG
rnacentral:tRNA from 1 species